UCAAGCUUAAAAGGGCGCAAGGGGGAUGCCUUGGCAUUGGUAGCCGAUGAAGGACGUAGCGAUCUACGAUAAGCCACGGGAAGUCGAAAGCAGGCAAUGAUCCGUGGAUUUCCGAAUGGGGAAACCCGGCAGAGCAAUACUCUGUCAACUCCUUGUGAAUAAAAUAGCAUUGAGUAGGGAACCUCCUGAACUGAAACAUCUAAGUAGGGAGAGGAAAAGAAAUCAACCGAGAUUCCGCUAGUAGUGGCGAGCGAACGCGGAAGAGGCCAAACCAAGAGUAGUAAUACUUUUGGGGUUCGGACUGAGUACGGUAUUGACAAGAGUUAGUAGAAUGGAAUGGGAAGUUCAACCAUAGAGUGUGAGAGUCACGUAUACGAAAACUUAAGUCAGCCAUCAGUAUCCAGAGUACCGCCGGACACGUGAAACCCGGUGGGAAUACGGGGGGACCACCCUCCAAGCCUAAAUACUCACCAAUGACCGAUAGUGUAUAGUACUGUGAAGGAAAGGUGAAAAGAACCCCUGGCGGGGAGUGAAAAAGAACCUGAAACCUUGUGCCUACAAGCACAUAGAGCACAUCAACGUGUGAUAUGGUACCUUUUGUAGAAUGGUCCGGCGAGUGAAUGUCACUAGCGAGGUUAAGAACUUAAGGUUUGCAGCCGAAGCGAAAGCGAGUCUUAAUAGGGCGAGUUUAGUUAGUGGUAUUCGACCCGAAACCGAGUGACCUAGCCAUGAGCAGGCUGAAGUGGAGGUAAAACUCCAUGGAGGGCCGAACCCACUCCCGUUGAAAUGGUAGGGGAUGACUUGUGGCUAGCGGAGAAAUUCCAAUCGAACUCGGAGAUAGCUGGUUCUCUCCGAAAUAGCUUUAGGGCUAGCCUCAAUUAACAUUACCGCAGGUAAAGCACUGAAUGGGCUAGGGGGCGAAAGCUUACUGAACCCUAUCAAACUCAGAAUGGCGGAUAAUGAAUAAUUGGGAGUCACACUACGUGAGAUAAGUUUCGUGGUGGAAAGGGAAACAGCCCAGACCCACAGCUAAGGUCCCAAAGUACAGUUAAGUGGAAAAGGAUGUGAAGUUGCGCAGACAACCAGGAUGUUGGCUCAGAAGCAGCCACUCAUUCAAAGAGUGCGUAAUAGCUCACUGGUCGAGUGAUUUUGCGCCGAAAAUUUAACGGGGCUAAACUGUACACCGAAGCUUGGGAAUAUACCUUAUGGUAUGUUGGUAGGAGAGCGUCGUAUGCGGGGUGAAGUCGUAGCGAAAGCGGCGGUGGACUGCAUAGGAGUGAGAAUGCCGGAAUGAGUAGCGAGAAUUAUGUGAGAAUCAUAAUGGCCGAAAGACUAAGGUUUUAGAAGGAAGGUUCGUCCGCUUCUAGUUAGCCGGGAGCUAAGGCGAGGCCGAAAGGCGUAGUCGAUGCACAUACGGUUGAGAUUCCGUAGCCACCUUAAAUUUAAACUAAGGGACACAUUGAAAGGGAAUAACCCAGGCGUUGGUUGACCUGGGCGUAAGGGAACGAAAAUAAGUAGUGAAGUAUUCUUGGACAGUGGCGAGAAAAGCUUAGUGUAUAUUAUUAGGGUGCCCGUACUGCAAACCGACACAGGUAGUCAGGAAGAGAAUUCUAAGGCCAUCGGGAGAAGCGUUGUUAAGGAACUCGGCAAAUUGACCCCGUAACUUCGGAAUAAGGGGUGCUCACGAGAGUGAGCCGCAGUGAAUAGGUCCAGGCAACUGUUUAUCAAAAACACAGCUCUCUGCUAAAUCGUAAGAUGACGUAUAGGGGGUGACACCUGCCCGGUGCUGGAAGGUUAAGAGGAGGAGUGCAAGCCCCGAAUCGAAGCCCCAGUAAACGGCGGCCGUAACUAUAACGGUCCUAAGGUAGCGAAAUUCCUUGUCGGGUAAGUUCCG
rnacentral:rRNA from 1 species